UGCUAGGCGUACGAGACCCCAGUUGAUUGCCUGUAAAGUUUGGAGCCUUUGUUUCUAGGAUUAAGCUGUAUAUCUCUAAUAGACUCGUAAGUCAUUAUUUACCUUUACGUGAUAUUAUUACUGUUAUUCACUCAUGAUGUUACUAUAUAUAUGAAACUAGAUCCUGACAUACAUAUAGGUAGCAUUCGGUUUUAUUUUUAAAACCGGGUGUGACAAGCCAUAACUUGAAAUUUUAGCCUAAAUCUAUAGAACAAACUAUAUAUGUCCUCCCCUCCUCUCUGGUAUCUUGGAUUGAUGUAACUGAGCUGGUAUUGAUCUCUUCAAUCAUGGCAAUGCCUAUUUCCUCAUGAUGUCUCUUUUACCGUAUCCCUCGUAUUCAUCUCUUGCGUUGGGCUAAUAAGUCUACUAGGUGGGUUGAAGUGUAGGCAUAUGUUUUCAUGAUUUCUCAUUCAAACUAUCUUUUUCAUGAAUCAACUCCUUCCCACUUGGGCUUGCAUUUCCUAUCGAGUGUGAUCACCAGGACCCUCUGUAAGGAAAAUGGCCCUAGGUCAUAGUGAUUUUGGUAUUAAUGACAACAUAGUUAUUGGGACUAAUGUGUUUGCAAGAUGUACAUUUUAGGUAUUUUAUAGGACCUAAGGAUGAAUUUCAAAGCCAUCAAAAUAACAAGAAAAAAAAGACUUAGAAGAAUUCUAUGGCAUCCAAAUGACAAUAAAAAUUCUAAGGUGUGCAAAUGAUGGUUAGAAAUCGGGACACAGACACGUGAAGAAUUGAAAUGAAUCUUGCUGAAGAUAGUGCAUUGACGUAAUCAUUGAUUCAUACGGUGAUGACAAGGAAGGUCACUGAAUUAGUCAUUGGCCAUAGGAACAGCAGCAGUGCCAAGAAAGCGUGCACUGUGUACACCGACCAUUCGGUGGACACAGUGGAUCACCACUGAAUUAGUCGGUGUGAUCAGCUUGGCUUGCGAUAAGCUCAAAAUCAGCACUGGAAGUUUUGAAGUCUAUUUAUAGCCUCACCGAUUAAUACGGUGGGAAUAGGAACCAUGGCAGUGGAUGAGUCAAUGAUGAUCGGCAAAGGAAGACAAUGGCUGAGGAAGUCACCGGACCAUUUGGUGAUGUUCAAGAGGUAUCACCGAAUUCGGUGAUACAUGGGGCGUCAGUGGCUCAACGGCUAGCUGGAUUUAACCACUGAUCCAUUCGAUGGUGCACACUAAGGUGCACUGAACCAGUUGGUGACUGUAGCUUUUAUGGUCAUUGGAGCAACGACUAGCUCUUGGAGUUGGGGCAAUAAAUACCCAUUGCCCGGUCAUUUGAAGAGUGUUAGAGCUUAGAGAAUCUAUAGGCUUGUAUUCCACAUAUACACAAGUGCUCUAUCCACCAAAAUGCUCGAAAGAAGAUUAAGGCCAUUAUCAUAAGGUUUAGGUUUUGUUUAGUGCUAGUUUUGGCCUUUUAGCACAUUUCUUUAGGGAUUAGCUUAGAGUUAGACGAGCUUUACACACCUCAUUGUUAUUGAUGCUUGCACGCACCAAGAAUUAUAAAUCCAGAAGCUUGUAAACCUUGUGAAACCCUCCAACCGUAUUUGUGGAGUGCCCACCGGUGCAUGUGAAAGCGAGGAGAGGCUCUUGGUAUUUUGCCGAAGCUCUUCCAAGUGAAGAGCGGCGAGGAGCAUCCAGAAGAGGCUAGUGUUGAUGCUCGUUUUUGACACACUUUUAUCCCUGUUUAUCUUCAAUAUUAGCAUACAAAUGAUUAGCGAUGAAAACGGACAGGAACGGGCAGGAUAACCCCUUAACCGUGUUUUGUCCCAUAUUUUUUCACCGGGGACGGGAAUGGGAGCGGGAUAGCCAGGAGCGGGAUGGGAAGCGGGAUAAAAGGGUAUACAGAAACGAACAAGUGUGGGCGGUAAUAAAAUGGAAAUGGACGGAACCGGGACCAUACGCCGGGAUGACUUGACAUGUUCCAAAUCCAACACCAGUGUAACAACCGUAGGUUAGCUAAACCCUGUUUAAGCCUAAAUGAAGCAAUUAACAGCAAAUUAAAUAAGUCAAGGGUCAACUUUGGCCCCUAAGAGCUUAAAAAGUGAUUAAGCCAUAAGUUAAAUUUUUAUAUAAGAACCUGAACUUUUGUCCAACUAAGAGUUGUUAAACUCAUCUUUUCUAACAACUUUUGUAUGUGGCGUUUGAGUUGAAUCUGAGCGGAAGACGUUCAAAUACUCGAAUUUCAAAUCAGUGACGAAGUAAAGGAAACAUGAAAAACCCAAACUUUGGAGCCCUUUUUCUCACAUUUCCAAAUGUAAGAUCAAGACGAACCUUAUACAAAACUUUUAGACUUACAAGCCUUUAGCAACUUUGAUUAUUGGAGCUAGGCCAAAAUCUGCACAAAAGGGUAUCAAAAACAAGGUCAAACACACCUAAAAUGGUCAACCCUGACAGAAACGUGAAAUCGUUCCAAGUCUGAAAUUUCCAGAUUUUGCCAAACUUUGACGUGUUUUAUCUCAUAACCGGUUUGGAAUAUGAGAAAAAUCCUUUAAUAAAGUUUGAACUUGGUUCGAAGGCCUACAACUUUGCUUAAGUGUGAGCGUGGUGUUCAGUUCCAGUUUUUGAAGAUAAUCGCGCUCGAAGAUCGGCCCAUCGCAUAUCCCGCGAAUCCCGUUCGCGCCAGAGCGUGCUCAGCUCGCGUGCGCGCACAUUCCGCUCAUCACCCGCCCCGUGGCGACGGUCCGCUCGCGCCGCGCCCCUGCCCAACCCACAGACGCGACACGACGUCUCGACGCUCGCCCGCGGCCUGUAGAGCUCCCCGCGCCCUGCAGCUCCUCUGCCUCUCCUUGUCUCGCCUACAAGCGUGGUGCUCUGCCCCGCGACGUCGCGCCGUGGACCGGACACCGCCGCCUCCGCCAACCAGAGCUCGGGAUAGGACACCUCGAGCGCCCGCGUCACCAAUCACGCGAGCCAGAGAACCCACUCGCCCGCGCACGCGAAGCCCUGCCCUAUCCCGCGCGCCUCGCCAGCCUCGCCCUGCACGCCUGCCGCACCGCCCGUCGACGCCAAUGGCCGCCGCCAUGGCCUGUCCACCCAGCAGCACGUGCCUCGCUCCACUCUUCGGCCCCAGCAGCAGAAGCAUGCCUCACCGCGCCUAUAAAACGGCCCUGCCCCGAACCUUUGCCUCCCCAAACUACAAGCUUCAGAAGUUUUUCCCCAUUGCCGAGCUCCAGCACCUUCGUGCGCUCACCGGCCAAAUCCUCCGUGCCUCGGCCAUUCCCUCCAAUAGCCCAUGCCUGAAGCUCCUCCACUUCCUCAGCCACACCUUCAACCACCCCCCGUCGUUCGCCGUCCAUGGAGCCACCGGAAAUCGGAGUUUUCCCCAACUCCAGGAACUCCACCCGCCGCCCCUUUGCCUUACCGUGAACGCCCCUCUUCCAGCCAUCCUCGUCGCCAACCAACCACUAAAACGGAACCGUGGUAAGAUACUGAUCGUCAUGCUCGCGCUCGUUUUCCUUUUGGGUCAACUUUCCGCGCUCGUUCCCGCUCAUGUCGACGGCGUUCCUCGCCGCCCGCGGAGCUCCUGUGCGCCGCCCCCUUCUUCCCCAUCUGCGCCGCUCAGGGAGUCCCCUGACCUUGGGGAAUGGCACCACCGCUCGCCCCUAGUGCUGCUGCGCCGUUUCCCCUUGCUCCCGGUCGAACUGUGUGCGCCCGUGUGUGUUUUGCCGUGCCUGUGCGAUCUGUUCCGAGGAAGAAGAAGGGCGAGGGCACGGUUGUGAAAAGAAAAGAGAGUCAGGGGUUAUGGGUUAAAUGGCUGAUUUUAUGUUUGAAGGUGGAAUUUGUCCAGGGGUGUAGGCGCAAAAUCCAGGGACCUCUGCGCAUUUAAACCCCAGACCUGGGGGCUAGAGUGGAAGAUUGCCUCGAAUUUUCUUUUUCCUUAGAUCUAAAAAGGCUGAAACUUUGGAAAUUCUUAAUAAAUUGCAGAAAAAUCUUAAAAUAGCAAAUGAAGAUGUUUUGGAAUCCUUGAGUUGUGUAGUUUCACACAAAUAAGUUUGCACCGGUAUCUGUUAGAAUUAAUGUUAUAUGAUUUAAUCCUUAUUUAAGCUAUUUUAAAUCAUAACAAAUCACAAAAAAAUGCUAAAAAGGUAAAUCCAAAUCUCAAGUGCUUGUCUCAGAGACUAGAAGCUUGGGAAAAAUAAUUUGGAUCCUAGUUCAGAUGUUAAGCCUCUGUUUUAAUUUUAUAGCUACAAUCUAAGGUUUAAAUUAUCUUUGCACAAUAUUUAAUCUAGAGAGGAGAAAAAUGUGAAACCACAUGGAGUGGAUCAGUGAUGAAGUAUACUUCACAAGGAAAGUAUGAAACCUUAUCUAAAACUAAAUAAAACCCACUCUUCUUUUUAGAGAGAGAUAAAUAGGAGUAAUAUGUAUAAAAUAGAUGUCCUCCUUUAAAAAUCAUGAAAAAUUCACCAAAACCUCUGUUUCACCCCUAGACCCCACUGUUUAAAUUUCAUAUCUAGAUUAAUUAUGGUUUCUGUUUUAAAACAAGUUAAUUGCAUUCUACCUUACGGUAAUAUACCAAUUUUAAUUAUUUUGUGCACCUCUAAUGGACCCCAACUUUUUGCAGUAGCUUAGUAGUAAUAAGGAUAGGUUGCUGGUAAACUUUCACCUUCUUUUGUUGCUUUUUGGUUAGUCAAACGAAAUUUGGAAGAUGAACCGGCUUAUAUUUGUGUGCAAUAAAGAAAUCGUUAAUUAAGAAUAAAGAUAAAAAGGAUAUAUUGGAAGAGGUACAAAAAGACAUUCAGAAACUUAAUGAACUUUCUAAUCUGAAGUUGAGUUAAUGUGUUUUAUAUUUAUGAGUACACAAUCACCGUCAAGGAAGCUGAGCGUUUAAAUCAUGAAAGUGUUGUUUUUACACAAAAUCGAUAAGUGUGUCUUGCAAGCAAGUUUCUUUAUAAUAAAAUGUGAAAUACCAUUCAGAUCAUCAAAUCAAAGUUGUCAUCUCAUUGCAUUGCACCUCAUGUAGAGUUGAACGUCACUGACAGCACGUACGAGCUGCACCCGGCGCCCGAAGAAGAAGACGUAGCGGAUCAGCACCAAGCCGGAGUCGAGCCCGUGCCAGAGCAAGCCGAAGGCCAAUUCGCUAACCCCGAGUUUGAAGGCAAGCCCCGGAGCAUGAUUUUCUAUAUUUAAAUACUUGCAACACAAUUGAUUGCUCUGAUUCUGCAUUUACAUUUUUAGGAAUUGAUUGAAACCGUAGAUGCAUGAAUUAGUACCCUUUGAUCUGAACACUAGUAUGAUAGGCUGAGUAGUUGCAAUGCUUAAUAGAACUCAGUAAAAGUUGAGUGAUUUCCUGUCACUCGCGAGUUAUAGGAGUUGAUUGCUUUACUUAUGUUGCAACUAUAAGGACGAUGGACGGGGCCGGACUAAGGUCGAGAUGUGAUAGUGUUCGUGAUCAAGUGUUUGAAAGUACUAAUCUCAUACCUAGUAUGAGAUGGGGAAGCCUAGUACCUGAUUGAACCGGGACGUGAGCGGAUCGUUCCACUAUCUCUGGAAACUAAAUUUUCCCCUGGUGCAUCAUGUGGUGACAAGUGCGGUCAUAGAACGGCAGAGGUCGGGUCUAUGGAGCAUUGUACCAAGGGAAGUGGGCCCGACACGGGUCUGGGAAUUGAUGGGGAUGACGGACAAGUGAAGCAACCCUUCAUGGUGCACGGAUGUCGUGAGAUUAGGUUCGCCAUGCAUGGUUAAGAAAUUCGAAUCGAUUUGUCUACCUCUCACAGUUUGGGACUACUUGAUCGCUAUGCUACACUGAGUAAGAAUGGAACUUGAUGGUGAUGUUAAUAUUAAUGCUUGUCAUAAAUUGCUUGGAAAUUUUGCUUGGUUAGUAUAGUGUCUAACUUAGAUUGUUAAAUGAACAUAGAACAUGUGGCUAAAAUAUUGAAAGUAAGGACCCACACUAGUUGCUUUUGGCAAAAACCAAACCCAGAGCCAAAAAGCUUGCAUGUCUAGGUGUUGGUGGAAUAGUACCACCGGUCGGUUAAGUCUUGUUGAGCGUAGUCGCUCAGCCUUGUUGUGGCACAUCUUUUCAGGUGAUGUUGACGCCCCUGAGUUUGCUGCAAUUGGCACUUGGCCUCUCCAACUUCCUCCUGGUUGGACGGUUCAGUGGGAUCCCUCCUCGGACGGUGAGGACCGGGAUCACUGAUGUCAUGAUCGGCUUCGUCAUGAUAUCCUGCAACGAUGUUAG
rnacentral:lncRNA from 1 species